GGCGCAUUUGGCAAGUGGUUAAGCCUCAAGACUUUCACUCUUGGAACGGAGGGUUCGAUUCCCCCAUGCGUCA
rnacentral:tRNA from 1 species